rnacentral:rRNA from 1 species
CCGGCGACCGGNGCACGGGUGAGUAACACGUAUGCAACCUGGCCGUCACAGGUGGAUAACCGGAAGAAAUUCCGACUAAUACAGCAUAACACUCCUGAGGGACAUCCUUCGGGAGUCAAAGGAGGCAACUCCGGUGACGGAUGGGCAUGCGGCGCAUUAGGUAGUUGGUAGGGUAACGGCCUACCAAGCCGACGAUGCGUAGGGGUUCUGAGAGGAAGGUCCCCCACAUUGGAACUGAGACACGGUCCAAACUCCUACGGAAGGCAGCAG